rnacentral:rRNA from 1 species
GGUGACCUGCGGAGGAUCAUUCACAAUAAGUGUUUAUGGCACUUUCAAAUCCAUACCCACCUUGUGUGCAAUGUAUAAGAGUCCCUUUCCAACUCGGAUUGGACUUGAUUUUUCUCUCACACGUCUUCAAUUGCAAGUCUAAGCUUUCAGAGUAAUCAAAAAACUCGAAUACAACUUUCAACAACGGAUCUCUUGGCUCUCGCAUCGAUGAAGAACGCAGCGAAAUGCGAUACGUAAUGUGAAUUGCAGAAUUCAGUGAAUCAUCGAAUCUUUGAACGCACAUUGCGCCUUCUGGUAUUCCGGAAGGCAUGCUUGUUUGAGUAUCAGUAACAACCUCAGCCAAGUUUUUUGUCGCCUCUGGCGCGGAAAGCAACAGCUGGAUUUGAGCAAAUUCCCUUGGGAUUUCAAUCCGUGAGGGAUGCUUGAAAUACAGGUUCGGGCUGACCAAAUGUCCUGGGCUACAAGCAUUUCAUACUUGAUCCCGUUAAACCGGAUCAUUUCCAUUGCUGCAGCCAUCACAAACAGGAUCAAACGUGUCCAGUGUUUCCGACUGAUGCAGGAAGUUGGAGCCAAACACAGAGAGAUCUGUGUGUAGGUUCUUUCUAACUCGAUCUCAAAUCAAGUAAGACUACCCGCUGAACUUAAGCAUAUCAAUAAGCGGAGGAAAAGAAACUAACAAGGAUUCCCCUAGUAACGGCGAGUGAAGCGGGAUGAGCUCAAAUUUGAAAUCUGGCUGGCUUCGUCAGUCCGAGUUGUAGUUUAAAGAGGCGUUUUCGGUGGCAGCCUGGGUACAAAUCCUUUGGAACAGGGUAUCAUAGAGGGUGAGAAUCCCGUCUCUGACUCGGUGUCCUGCUACUAUGUGAUACGUCUUCAAAGAGUCGAGUUGUUUGGGAAUGCAGCUCAAAAUGGGUGGUAAAUCUCAUCUAAGGCUAAAUACCGGCGAGAGACCGAUAGCGAACAAGUACCGUGAGGGAAAGAUGAAAAGAACUUUGAAAAGAGAGUUAAACAGUGCGUGAAAUUGUUGAAAGGGAAACGUUUGACACCAGCUUUGCGGGUGGGAAAUCAGUCGCGUUGCAGUGGAGAGUGGCAAGGGUUCAGACCGCAAGGCUGGCCUUUGUCUCAUCUUUGUUGCGGGCGAUGCACUUUUUCAUCUGCAGGUCAACAUCAGUUUCCUCCGCUGGACAAAACCUCGAGAGAAUGUAGCAGCUCUGGCUGUGUUAUAGCUCUGGGGCGAUACAGUGGUGGGGACUGAGGUUUCGCAGUGUGUGCUCUCGGGCAAGGCUGACUGGGUGCUACGGAAUGGUUCGGUGUACAAUGCUUGCAUUUUGCGCCGAGUCUGUUCUGUACUCGGCUCAACUCGGUCUCCACGCUAGG